rnacentral:rRNA from 1 species
GACGUAGGGCGCAAGCGUUGUCCGGAUUUAUUGGGCGUAAAGAGCUCGUAGGCGGCUUGUCGCGUCGACUGUGAAAUCCCGCGGCUCAACUGCGGGUCUGCAGUCGAUACGGGCAGGCUAGAGUUCGGUAGGGGAGACUGGAAUUCCUGGUGUAGCGGUGAAAUGCGCAGAUAUCAGGAGGAACACCGGUGGCGAAGGCGGGUCUCUGGGCCGAUACUGACGCUGAGGAGCGAAAGCGUGGGGAGCGAACAGG